rnacentral:sRNA from 1 species
GAUAUUUACUCUGAACGUAAAUUCAG